UACCGCACAGUGACACUCUGAACUUACGUGGCCUGACGAAAUCUCUAUGCUUGGCAUCGACUCGAUCGAAGCUUUUGAUGCCGGCAGAUUCUCCGGCCGGGAUAGCGCCGUUAGAUCAAUCUGAGACAGUUGAUGAAGCAACAGGUGAAAUCCUGAAUCCAUCAAGAACCCUAAAACUCUUUCUGGUAUCGGUCUUAGAGUUGACUCUGACCCCUGACCGUCCUCAUAGUACAGAUCAAAGCUGCUGCCGCUACUGUUUUCUUCAUUAUUGUUGCCGCGUAGGACGAUGACCGGGUUGAAGAAAUCAAGCUGUUGGCUGCGGGAGUUUCCCCGGCGGCGGCUUCUUCGCUGGAAACUCAAGGUUGUUCUUUGACCGGAAUCUU
rnacentral:lncRNA from 1 species